GGACAUGGUAAACCUCUCAUAUGAUUUUCUCGUCCGAUAUUACAUGGGCUUUGCACACUCGGGUUUGCGGUCAGAGCUAUCAUCAAAUGUGUCUGCAGAGGAGAACCAAAUAUGAUCAAAGGCAUUUCCGGUAGAUUUCUGUUGCAUGUCUAUCCUGGUGAAACCUUGAUAACUGAAAUGUGGCUUGAAGGUUCAAGGGUGUUGUAUCAGGUGAAGGUUAAAGAACGAAACAGGGCCGUGCUUUCAGGCUUUGUGAAUCUUGAUCGCCUAAGUUCGUCUCUGUAAUCUCCCACUUUCGAAGAAAAGAAUUAAGCCCUCAAUGUUUGCUCUGUUCCUGUACUCUUUCCAUUUUCAUGCAGGAAUAUUCGUGCAGGCAGGGGCGGAUCCAGGGGUUCGCCAACUAGGGCGGCCGCCCUAGCUGGAUCCGCCGGAAGCAAUUUUUUUUGGGUUGAUGAUAGAUAAAGUUUGAACUUAUAUAAGCUAACUCGAAUGUGUUCUCUUGUGGGUUAGUUGGUUGGAAGGUUGCCAAUUCAUAUUGAAGGUCUAGGGAUCGAAUACCUCCCCAACUAAUUUAUAGUGUAAUAUUUUUAUUUCUACAAUUUUUACCAAAAUUCAUGAAAAUAUGAGAGGAGGAUUCGAACCUGGUUUCUCUUCUUAGCAUUAUGAGGAGAUUAACCAUUGAAGCACU